CUAGGCUUGAACUGCAGUGGCCGACCCUAGAAACAGGGUUUUCCCUUCGGGGACUGCUGUAGAGGUGCUGCACGGCUGUCGUCAGCUCGUGUCGUGAGAUGUUGGGUUAAGUCCCGCAACGAGCGCAACCCUCGUCCUGUGUUACCAAAAAUUGGGACUCGCAGGAGACCGCCAGCGACAAGCUGGAGGGAGGUGGGGACGACGUCAAGUCAUCGUGGCCUUUAUGUCUAGGGCUACACACGUGCUACAAUGGGCGGUACAACGGGUCGCGAAGUCGCAAGGCGGAGCUAAUCCCUAAAAGCCGUCCUCAGUUCGGAUUGUAGGC
rnacentral:rRNA from 1 species